GUCUACGAUCAUACUAGGUUGAAUGCACCGCAUACCGUCAGGUCUGAAAAGUUAUGCGACGUUAGGCCGAGUAAGUACCAUGGUUGUAGAUAACAUGGGAACCCUCGGUGUCGUAGACA
rnacentral:rRNA from 1 species